AUCCAGCUGACGAGUCCCAAAUAGGACGAAACGCGUGCCCUGGUAU
rfam:Schistosoma curassoni strain Dakar, Senegal genome assembly, scaffold: SCTD_scaffold0012186